rnacentral:rRNA from 1 species
GAUGAACGCUGGCGGCGUGCCUAAUACAUGCAAGUCGAGCGAACGGACGAGAAGCUUGCUUCUCUGAUGUUAGCGGCGGACGGGUGAGUAACACGUGGAUAACCUACCUAUAAGACUGGGAUAACUUCGGGAAACCGGAGCUAAUACCGGAUAAUAUUUUGAACCGCAUGGUUCAAAAGUGAAAGACGGUCUUGCUGUCACUUAUAGAUGGAUCCGCGCUGCAUUAGCUAGUUGGUAAGGUAACGGCUUACCAAGGCAACGAUGCAUAGCCGACCUGAGAGGGUGAUCGGCCACACUGGAACUGAGACACGGUCCAGACUCCUACGGGAGGCAGCAGUAGGGAAUCUUCCGCAAUGGGCGAAAGCCUGACGGAGCAACGCCGCGUGAGUGAUGAAGGUCUUCGGAUCGUAAAACUCUGUUAUUAGGGAAAAACAUAUGUGUAAGUAACUGUGCACAUCUUGACGGUACCCAAUCAGAAAGCCACGGCUAACUACGUG